rnacentral:rRNA from 1 species
UACGUAGGGGGCAAGCGUUGUCCGGAAUGAUUGGGCGUAAAGCGUCUGCAGGUGGCAGUUCAAGUCUGCUGUCAAAGACCGGGGCUUAACUUCGGAAAGGCAGUGGAAACUGAACAGCUAGAGUAUGGUAGGGGCAGAGGGAAUUCCUGGUGUAGCGGUGAAAUGCGUAGAGAUCAGGAAGAACAUCGGUGGCGAAGGCGCUCUGCUGGACCAUAACUGACACUCAGGGACGAAAGCUAGGGGAGCGAAUGGG